UGGAAGUAAAUUUGGUUCAAAUCCAGCUUACUGAAACACUGGGCAAGUUCAACUUUUUGAACCUCUGCCAUCAUCUGAGAAAUGAGAUGCUGACAGAACCUUCUUCGUGGGUUGCGGUUGCUGUGAGGGUAAGGAGGGGCGAGGUGUCUAACGCACUUAGUGCAGUGUCUGGCAUAUCAUAAGGUGUCAGGAAGAAAGAAUCAUACUCAUUUAAUAAGUUUUUUGCAGGUGGAUCUGGAUGGCUUCCACACAGGAGAGGAUUUCUUUUGGUGUGCAGAGCAUGGUCGGUGGUGGGCGUGUUUGGCUUUGAGAGGUGCGGAAUGCUGGGCCACCCAAAGUUCUCAGCUUCUGCAGCGGUUGGGGCUGGGGGGAGGCGGGAGGGAAGUAGGGGCAUAGGAGACACUGGAGCAGGGACAACAGAUCAGGGGAUGGCGGGUGCCUCUUAGAAUGUUGGCAGGCAGAGGCUUUCCUGUGUUCUCUGUUCUAACCAUUCUAGAUCUGUUGGAAGAAAAGGUUGCCAGCUACCCAGAGAGCCUGUGAUCCCUUCAUAGUCCUGGAGGUCCUACUGGCCAGAGCAUCCAGAAUUAUCCCUGUAGAUAUUUCAGCUGGACCACUAAACCCCCACCAGCCACGUGGUUUCUGGACAUCUUCCCUGGGGAGAGGACAGUCAAUAGCUGUGAAGGAAACACAUCAGUGAAGGUAGCUGUGCGUAGCUGAGCGCUCACUGGAGAGACAGGCCGUCAGAUGAGAGAUUGGCGUCAAGUAGUAAACGGCAACCAAAGGAGUCACAUAAGGAAAACAUCAAUUAGAUUGAACAAUGUUCCCCCCGGAACGUCGGUGCUGCGUCGUCUCUGGACACCUCCUUUGAAUUUGGUUUGGACUGCGUCGUGCCUUCUGUUAGGAGGAAAUUAUCAACAACGAGAGGAAAUCCUGUACUAGCAUUGAAUAGUCCUUAUUUUAAAGGUACUUCCCUUCUGGUGGGAAUUGUAUGUGAU
rnacentral:lncRNA from 1 species